ensembl:lncRNA
GUGACUGGGAAGGGUCCUGCUGUAGCAUCUGUCAGCACCUUCAGUGCUCUGGGCUGAAUCAUAUCAGGCCCCAUUGGCUUUUGUCCAUACAGCUGAUACAGCUAGGUCCUGAUGAUUUCAGUGUCCACAAAUGGAGAGUCACUGUCUCUGCACUCGUACUCCUCUGCCUCAGGGGACUGUGCAGCCCUAAGGUUAUUGGUAUAAUUAAAGAUUGAGGUAAGAAAAGCAUUGAACAACUCCAACUCUUUUUUGUCCCUGUUAGUCAGGGUGUGAUCUUCUUCUAUGAGUACCAGUCUAAUGUUUUCUUUCAAACUCCUCUUGUUAUGAACAUACUUAAAAAGCCAUUCUUGUUGUAUGACACAACACUGGCCAGUUUCAAGUCUGAUCGAGUUUUGGCCUUUCGUGUCUUCUCCCUGAAUAUAUGAACCAUAGCUCUGUAAGCUUCCUGCAAAGCCUGACCUUGUUUCCACAGAUCAUACAAUUUCUUUCUCUUCUGGAGCUCCAUAGGGAAUUCCCUGUUUGGCCAAGCUGAUUUUCUGAUCUGUGUGCUCGACUUUUGGCACAGUGGAAUUGUUUUCUAAUAGACUGUAACCCUACAGAGUUGUGAGAAUAUGUUCCUUAAGAAAGAUUGUAAGGAAACUCCACAAGUUGCUUCAAGGGACUUUUUCUGAAGGUAGCGUCAAGAUGAAAUCUGAAAGUGGACUUUGAGUUUGGUAUCAUCAUUGUUGUUCCUGAAUUCAGAGGUUUCUUGAUGGGAGUGGAAAGCUGUUAUGCUAUGAUUUUCUGUGUUUAUCUUUUAGAGCAUUUGCAUUGUCCUUUUUGUCUUUUCUCCUUCUACUCUGUGACUACUUUUGAACAUUGUCUUGCAUCUUCCUCUUGAGAAGGAAUGUCACUCCCACAUAUAAUUAAUAAAGGAUUGUUUGAAAGAAGGCAGCAUGACACGAGAUAUUGGGAAACCCUCACAUUGUGUUGUGCUGCAGUUAUAAACUGUCUGUUGUAACGACGGGAGAUCUUUGUGUGUAAAAGCAGAAUAAAGAGAACACUCUAA